AUUGAACGCUGGCGGCAUGCUUUACACAUGCAAGUCGAACGGCAGCACGGGGGCUUGCUCCUGGUGGCGAGUGGCGAACGGGUGAGUAAUGCAUCGGAACGUACCCAGUAGUGGGGGAUAGCCCGGCGAAAGCCGGAUUAAUACCGCAUAUUUCCUGAGGGAGAAAGCGGGGGACCUUCGGGCCUCGCGCUACUGGAGCGGCUGAUGUCGGAUUAGCUAGUUGGUGAGGUAAAGGCUCACCAAGGCGACGAUCCGUAGCUGGUCUGAGAGGAUGAUCAGCCACACUGGGACUGAGACACGGCCCAGACUCCUACGGGAGGCAGCAGUGGGGAAUUUUGGACAAUGGGGGCAACCCUGAUCCAGCCAUGCCGCGUGAGUGAAGAAGG
rnacentral:rRNA from 1 species